AUCAGCGAUCUUGUGAUAGAAGCUUUUAAAAAUUGCGUUUAUGUCGUCAUUACGAAAUCUAGAAUUUCCGGCAUAAUCUUAAACAGCGAGACUUGUUUUUUAAAAAAACAAGUCUCUUUUU
rnacentral:ncRNA from 1 species